rnacentral:rRNA from 1 species
CCUACGGGAGGCAGCAGUGGGGAAUAUUGGACAAUGGGCGAAAGCCCGAUCCAGCCAUGCCGCGUGUGUGAAGAAGGCCUUCGGGUUGUAAAGCACUUUCAGUGGGGAAGAAAGCCUUGGGGCUAAUACCCUCGAGGAAGGACAUCACCCACAGAAGAAGCACCGGCUAACUCCGUGCCAGCAGCCGCGGUAAUACGGAGGGUGCGAGCGUUAAUCGGAAUUACUGGGCGUAAAGCGCGCGUAGGCGGUCUGAUAAGCCGGUUGUGAAAGCCCCGGGCUCAACCUGGGAACGGCAUCCGGAACUGUCAGGCUAGAGUGCAGGAGAGGAAGGUAGAAUUCCCGGUGUAGCAGUGAAAUGCGUAGAGAUCGGGAGGAAUACCAGUGGCGAAGGCGGCCUUCUGGACUGACACUGACGCUGAGGUGCGAAAGCGUGGGUAGCAAACAGGAUUAGAUACCCUAGUAGUC